rfam:Tupaia chinensis contig68978, whole genome shotgun sequence.
GUUCUCUGCUCGGUCUCGCCGGGUCGCUUCCUCGCGCACUUUGGUUAUUGAUCCAGCUGAACCAGGCAGAGUCGGGAGGCUGCGCUUCCCUAGGGACGAAGGAGAGCGGGGAGGGAGAGUAGGCUAGAGGGAUGGUGGUGAGAAGAGGUGGUGGCUAAACUUUAGGAGAGGGAGUGGGCGUUCCUCAGUACCCUAGGGCCUCCC